GUUCAAAUAGGGCGGCACCUUGACGGUACCUAACCAGAAAGCCACGGCUAACUACGUGCCAGCAGCCGCGGUAAUACGUAGGUGGCAAGCGUUGUCCGGAAUUAUUGGGCGUAAAGGGCUCGCAGGCGGUUUUCUUAAGUCUGAUGUGAAAACCCCCCGGCUCAACCGGGGAGGGUCAUUGGAAACUGGGGAACUUGAGUGCAGAAGAGGAGAGUGGAAUUCCACGUGUAGCGGUGAAAUGCGUAGAGAUGUGGAGGAACACCAGUGGCGAAGGCGACUCUCUGGUCUGUAACUGACGCUGAGGAGCGAAAGCGUGGGGAGCGAACAGGAUUAGAUACCCUGGUAGUCCACGCCGUAAACGAUGAGUGCUAAGUGUUAGGGGGUUUCCGCCCCUUAGUGCUGCAGCUAACGCAUUAAGCACUCCGCCUGGGGAGUACGGUCGCAAGACUGAAACUCAAAGGAAUUGACGGGGGCCCGCACAAGCGGUGGAGCAUGUGGUUUAAUUCGAAGCAACGCGAAGAACCUUACCAGGUCUUGACAUCCUCUGACAAUCCUAGAGAUAGGACGUCCCCUUCGGGGGCAGAGUGACAGGUGGUGCAUGGGUUGUCGUCAGCUCGUGUCGUGAGAUGUUGGGUUAAGUCCCGCAACGAGCGCAACCCUUGAUCUUAGUUGCCAGCAUUCAGUUGGGCACUCUAAGUGACUGCCGGUGACAACCGGAGAGGUGGGGGAU
rnacentral:rRNA from 2 species